rnacentral:tRNA from 1 species
GCCUUCAUGAUGUAGUGGUCAGCACGCUCGGCGCGUAUUCGAGAGGUCCGUGGUUCGAGUCCCGACGAGGGCA